rnacentral:lncRNA from 1 species
UUCGGUUGGGUUCGGGGGUCCCCCCAACGAGCAGGAAAUCCCCAAGGAAUAGAAGAAGAAACAAAAAAGAAUUGAUUCUUUCAUCCAUGAAUGGACGACGGAAGAUCGGUGAUGAAAGAAAGUCCCUUUCGAGGAUUAAAGUACCACCACCCUCGGGCUUUAGGGUGGGGUCGGAGGACAAAAAAUGCUCGGAAGAGCGAAAUCCGAGGGAUAGUCGGCAAAAGCCGACACAGCAGGG